UACAGAGGGUGCUAGCGUUGUUCGGAAUCAUUGGGCGUAAAGGGCGUGUAGGCGGUUUGUUAAGUCAUGUGUGAAAUCCCUCGGCUCAACCGGGGAACGACGCAUGAAACUGGCAAGCUAGAGUACCAAAGAGGGGGGUGGAAUUCCCGGUGUAGCGGUGAAAUGCGUAGAUAUCGGAAGGAACACCGGUGGCGAAAGCGGCGCGCUGGAUCCCUACUGACGCUGAGGCACGAAAGCCAGGGGAGCAAACGGG
rnacentral:rRNA from 1 species